rnacentral:rRNA from 1 species
AGCGAACGCUGGCGGCAGGCCUAACACAUGCAAGUCGAACGAACUCUUCGGAGUUAGUGGCGGACGGGUGAGUAACACGUGGGAACGUGCCUUUAGGUUCGGAAUAACUCAGGGAAAUUUGUGCUAAUACCGAAUGUGCCCUUCGGGGGAAAGAUUUAUCGCCUUUAGAGCGGCCCGCGUCUGAUUAGCUAGUUGGUGGGGUAAUGGCGCACCAAGGCUACGAUCAGUAGCUGGUCUGAGAGGAUGACCAGCAACAUGGGGACUGAGACACGGCCCAAACUCCUACGGGAGGCAGCAGUGGGGAAUUUUGCGCAAUGGGCGAAAGCCUGAAGCAGCCAUGCCGCGUGUAUGAUGAAGGUCUUAGGAUUGUAAAAUACUUUCACCGGUGAAGAUAAUGACUGUAGCCGGAGAAGAAGCCCCGGCUAACUUCGUGCCAGCAGCCGCCGUAACAC